CCUACGGGUGGCAGCAGUGGGGGAUAUUGCACAAUGGGGGGAACCCUGAUGCAGCGACGCCGCGUGAGUGAAGAAGUAAUUCGUUACGUAAAGCUCUAUCAGCAGGGAAGAAACUCUCACCUUCCGAUCAGCAGCCGGUAGCUGAGUCAGACGCCCCGGCUACCUACGUGCCAGCAGCCGACGUACUACGUAGGGGGCCAGCGUUAUCCGGAUUUACUGGUUGUAAGGGGAGCGUAGACGGUGAGCCAAGUCUGGAGUGAAAUGCCGCAGCUUAACUGCGGAACUGCUUUGGAAACUGGCGAACUAGAGUGCGGGAGGGGGAAGCGGAAUUCCUAGUGUAGCGGUGAAAUGCGUAGAUAUUAGGAGGAACACCGGUGGCGAAGGCGGCUUACUGGACCGUAACUGACGUUGAGGCGCGAAAGCGUGGGGAGCAAACAGGAUUAGAUACCCUGGUAGUC
rnacentral:rRNA from 1 species